ACCAGAAGACUUAACUUUCAGACAGGUGGCUCACGUCACAUCCACGUCGUCAAGCUCAGUUGGAGCUGCGCAGUAACGCCCAGCAUCACCGGGACAGAGCUUCUAACAGACUGCACUGGUCUCCGUGGAAGUCUAUGGCGUCGCUGUGUCCAUUUCCUUCACUGUCUAUGAUAUAUACAACAGCAGC